rnacentral:sRNA from 21 species
UCUCGCAGCCCUCCUUGGGCGUUUCCUCCCUAGACUUCGGGCCGUUCGCGAGAGCGGCCUUUUUUUUGGCCCGC